UACGUAGGGUGCAAGCGUUGUCCGGAAUCAUUGGGCGUAAAGAGCGUGUAGGCGGCUCGGUAAGUCCGCUGUGAAAGUCCAGGGCUCAACCCUGGAAUGCCAGUGGAAACUGUCGAGCUAGAGUCCGGAAGAGGCGAGUGGAAUUCCUGGUGUAGCGGUGAAAUGCGCAGAUAUCAGGAGGAACACCAAUGGCGAAGGCAGCUCGCUGGGACGGUACUGACGCUGAGACGCGAAAGCGUGGGGAGCAAACCGG
rnacentral:rRNA from 1 species